GCACGGGGAGGUAGUGACGAAAAAUAACGAUGCGGGACUCAUCCGAGGCCCCGUAAUCGGAAUGAGUACACUUUAAAUCCUUUAGCGAGGAUCCAUUGGAGGGCAAGUCUGGUGCCAGCAGCCGCGGUAAUUCCAGCUCCAAUAGCGUAUAUUAAAGUUGUUGCGGUUAAAAAGCUCGUAGUUGAAUUUGUGUGCCACGCUGUUGGUUCAUCGCUCGCGAUGUUUAACUGACAUGAUUGUGGGACGUCCUACCGGUGGGCUCUGCCUUUCGGGGCGGUCCAGCUAAUAUCCCAUCGCGGUGCUCUUCAUCGAGUGUCGAGGUGGGCCGGUACGUUUACUUUGAACAAAUUAGAGUGCUCAAAGCAGGCUAUGCUCGCCUGAAUACUGUGUGCAUGGAAUAAUGGAAUAGGACCUCGGUUCUAUUUUGUUGGUUUUCGGAACCCCGAGGUAAUGAUUAAUAGGGACAGAUGGGGGCAUUCGUAUUGCGACGUUAGAGGUGAAAUUCUUGGAUCGUCGCAAGACGGACAGAAGCGAAAGCAUUUGCCAAAAAUGUUUUCAUUAAUCAAGAACGAAAGUUAGAGGUUCGAAGGCGAUCAGAUACCGCCCUAGUUCUAACCAUAAACGAUGCCAGCUAGCGAUCCGCCGAAGUUCCUCCGAUGACUCGGCGGGCAGCUUCCGGGAAACCAAAGCUUUUGGGUUCCGGGGGAAGUAUGGUUGCAAAGCUGAAACUUAAAGGAAUUGACGGAAGGGCACCACCAGGAGUGGAGCCUGCGGCUUAAUUUGACUCAACACGG
rnacentral:rRNA from 1 species